UUGGAGGGCAAGUCUGGUGCCAGCAGCCGCGGUAAUUCCAGCUCCAAUAGCGUAUAUUAAAGUUGUUGCAGUUAAAAAGCUCGUAGUUGAAUUUCGGGAUCAGUUGAUCGGUCGUGCCUCGGUACGUACUGGUCAAAUUGAUUCCUACCUUCUGACGAACCACGAUGUCAUUAAUUUGGUGUCGUGGGAAAUCAGGACUGUUACUUUGAAAAAAUUAGAGUGUUUAAAGCAGGCUCGCGCUUGAAUACAUUAGCAUGGAAUAAUGAAAUAGGACGUUUGAUUCUAUUUUGUUGGUUUCUAGGAUCGACGUAAUGAUUAAUAGGGAUAGUUGGGGGCAUCAGUAUUCAAUUGUCAGAGGUGAAAUUCUUGGAUUUAUUGAAGACUAACUACUGCGAAAGCAUUUGCCAAGGAUGUUUUCAUUAAUCAAGAACGAAAGUUAGGGGAUCGAAGACGAUCAGAUACCGUCGUAGUCUUAACCAUAAACUAUGCCGACUAGGGAUCGGAUGAUGUUAAUUUUUUAAUGACUCAUUCGGCGCCUUACGGGAAACCAAAGUGUUUGGGUUC
rnacentral:rRNA from 1 species